GGAUCGAUGAUGACUUCCUUAUAUACAUUCCUUGGAAAGCUGAACAAAAUGAGUGAAAACUCUAUACCGUCAUCCUCGUCGAACUGAGGUCCAGCACAUUGCUCUUACAGGGGCUAGAGAGAGAGGGACAAAUUUCAUUUGAUGAUGCCCAUUGCACCAAGGGGUUCUGUCCAGGCUUAGGAUGGGGUCUCGUUUGGGCAAAGGAGAAUGGCAGGGGAGUGGAGGCUAUGUACACAGGAGAUUCCUUGUUUGAAGGACUCUAUUUGUGAGGCCAGGGUACCACACAUGCUGUCCGCAGGAGUAGGUGAAUGUGCAGUUGCCCAGGAAGAGUUAGCCUGUAGCCUGCCUCUGCAUGGCAGUUUGUCCUUGGGUCCUGGCUCUGGAUUUCCAUGUUCCUUGGAGGAGGAUAGGUGAUUUUGCUUGAGAAGACAGCACAGUACCAUACUUUUGUUGUUUUUCUGCUCAUUUCAUCGUCCAUUGAGGACAAUGAAGUUGUGGUCAGCAGGCAUAGCUUUCAGGCCAGCGUGCCCAUGUUGUGUCCCAUGCAUUGUGAGCACAUGCAUGUGGCAUGAACACAUAGGCUGCCACUCCAAGCUGAGUCUGAUAGGCAAUGAGACUCUGGCUUAUCCUGAUCCCGGUGUAGAUCAAAGUCUUCCCAGUAGGAUUGCAUGGCCCCGAGGCUAUUGUGAGCUGCAUUGCAGGUGUGGAAGCAAGGGUGUUGAGAGGGAUGCUCAACAUUAGUGCUCUUUAGCGAGAUGAUGCACUAUAAGGGCACCCUGAACCCAGACGUGCAUCCCUAUGUACGUGCAUUUCUGUGUCCAUAAAUAGUUGAAGCCAGACAGCCAGAUUCCAGAUGUAUCGCAGGGGGCUGGAUGACAUGGCCCUUGUCACCUGUGUACCUGUCUGCCUUUCUGAAGCACGCUUGUGUUUCCUCUACACCUCCCAGGUAGCAUUGGCAUGGAAGGCAGGCCCAUGUUGGUGAGGGACAAUUGUUAUCUUGUGUGAGCCGCAGGGAUACCAGGAAACCCCUGGACACAAAUGGCAAAGGCUUCUUUGGAAGUUGUUGGAUCCCUUCUGCAUGUAAGCAGUUCUUUCCCAGAGCGCUCUGAUUUUCCUCAUUUGCAGGGACAAACACUGUGCGUGGAUCGAUGAUGACUUCCAUAUAUACAUUCCUUGGAAAGCUGAACAAAAUGAGUGAAAACUCUAUACCGUCAUCCUCGUCGAACUGAGGUGGUGUUGGCAUGAAAGGCAGGCUUGUAUCAUGAGGAAUGAUUGUCAUCUUGUCUGAUUCUUGGAGAUGGCAGGAAGCCCCUGGAAACACAUGGUGUGGACUCUUUCACAGGCUGUUGAAACCCUCCUGAAUGUGAGGCCAGAGACAGGCAGACAGCAGAUGUAUUGCAGGGAGCUGGAUGACAUGGCCCUUGGAACCUGUGCACAUGCCUGCCUUUCUGAUGCACGUCCAUGUUUUCUCUGCACCUCCCCGGUGGUGUUGGUAUAAAAAGCAGGCUUACAUCAGCAAGGGAUGAUUGUCGUCUCAUGCGAUCCUGGGAGAUGGCAGAAGUCCCGGGACACAUGGAGUGUGGGCUCUUUCGGAGGCUGUUGGAUCCCUCCUGAAUGUGUUGUGGCCAUGGAAGUAAGGCCAGUGGCUACGAGGGACAGUCUUCAUCUUGGGAGAUCCCUAGAGAGGGCAGGGAGCCCCUUGACAUGUGGAAUGUGAUCUCUGUUGGGUGCUGGUGGAUCCCACAGGUGGUCUGGCAUGGAAGAAGGCCAGAGGCUGCGAUGGAUCAUCUUUGUCUUGGGAGAUUCCUGGAGAUGGUGGGGAGCCCCUGGGCACGUGCAGCAUAUGUGGCGUGGGCUUCUUCAGGUGCUGGUGGAUCCCUCAGGAUGCUUUUCAAGGUUUUUCUAUGAGUUCUGUUAAAGAGUCUGAAAAUGGAGCGUAGAAGACAUGCUUCGAUUUCCAGGAUGGUUGUGUUUUCCAGAGAGGCGGAGGUAAACCACUGGCGCAGCCCUGCCUCCCACAGAUAAUUCCGGGUGCAGUGUUUCAUAUCUAGACUUGGACUUCUAUCCUACCAUACUUCUUUGUGUGCAGUUCAUUGUGGAACCAGCACAGAUUUUCAUACGAAAGUUAUUUCUUUUUAACCUCAAAAAGUGACAGAAUGGAGUGUAUCAUGAAAAAGUCUGACAUCAAAACCUCAAAAUGUGAUAUUGAUUGGGUGAGAUAGAAUUCCAUGGAAUUUCAUUGCCAAACCAGUGAAGUGCUAAUUUUGACAUUUGUACCAGCUAACGUAGCUGUGAAGAAACACACCAAUACACUUCUAAGGACAGCAUAGACCAAGAUCUAGGUUUCAUAUGGAUGAAUUUAUUCUUCCCUUUGAGGCAAGACAAGAAGGAAAGAAAGUAUUGGGAAUAAUGCUGCCCUCCCAUCCUCAAGGGCCAGUGGGAACUCUAAUAUUGAUUGGGUGAGAUACAAUUCCAUGGAAUUUUACCACUGAACCAGUGGAGGGCUAAUUUUGUCAUUUGUACCAGUUAACUAACUUGGGAGGAAACAGAACAACACACUCCUGAGAUUGGUUUUCACAGAAUUCCAUGGACUUUAACUGCUGAACCAAUGAUGCACUGAUUUUGUCACUUGUACCAGCUAACGCAUCUGGGAGGCAACAAAACAAUACUCUCCUGAGGUUAAUGUGGACCAAAAACUAGAUUUCAUAUAAAAGAGUUUAUUCCUUCUACUUGAGGUGUGACAUGAAGGAAAGUAAUGGAAAUAAUUCUGCCCUCCCAUUCUCAAGGGCCAGGGGGAAUUCAAAUAUUGAACGGAAGUGAUUUUGGAAUUGCAUGGAAUUCUCACUGCCAUCCCAAAGAAAUGCUGAUCUUGUCACUCUUACCUGUUUCAUUCCCUGGGGGCAGAACAAAAGGACGCACUCCAAAGAUCGGCAUGAACCAAGAACUGGGUUUCAUAUAAAAUAUUUUAUUCUGUCCUCUUGAGAUGUGACAUGAGAAAAGUAUUGAGAAUACUUCUAUCACCUCAUCUUCAAGAAUCCGUAGGAAUUCUCCCAUGGUGGACUUUACGGUUAACCUGAACAGGUCUUGGAAAAAGGACUUUAAACAUUCUCCUGUUCUGUGGAAUAAGUAUACUUUUUUCUGGACAUACACCUUGUCAGUGAGUUCCAUGUGAUACUAGAGUUGCAUAGAUUUUUAACCUUUACGCCAAUGAAGAUCUGAGGCAAACAUUGCCCCUUUUUUAGAAGUUUGCAUUUGUCACUGAUAACUGUAAUAAUUGAUCUUGUUGAAAAGCCUGGGAAAUGAAGAUCUGAUAUGUCACUUUUACCGGCUUCCUCAACUGAAAAAGAAUACAAUGAAACACGCUGAGAAUUUUUGUGCUUUCUCAGUCUUGCUGAUGAUCUUUCUAUGGGCCUGAAGCGUGGAGAGUGCCAGAGAGGCUGAUCCUCAGCAGUGUGGCAGAGGAAAGUUGGGUGCGACUAAGGGGUAUGCGGUGCCCACAUGCCACUGGGUCCUCAGCAGUACCACCUGAUUGGAAGUGAUAUUGGUGGAAGACAACAUUUUGCCGCUUGGAAUUCUCACCUCCACACCAAAGAAGUACUGUUUUUGUCAUUUGCACCAGCUUCUUUCUCCAGGAAAGAUCAAAACGAUGCACUGCAAGUGUGAUUGGUCCAGAUAGCUGCCUUAUCCAACUGCCUCCUUUGGACCACUUCAUCAUGGGACAGCUUGAUGCAAUCUACUUGACAAGACCCUGGAACCCCACACCCCUCAUGGAACCAGUGUCCACCUCCCAGUCACAGUGUGACCCCAGGGAACUCUUGCCUGCUUGCUUUAAACCCACCACUUAAAAGUCUCCACAGAAAACCUGUUUGAAUAGUACCCUUGACCCAAUAAGGGCAUUGGCCCCUGGGUGUCUCUCUCUCUCUCUCUCUCUCUCUCUCCCUCUCUCUCCCUCUCUCUCUCUCGCUCCCUGACCUCUGCGUGUGGACUCCAGGCAUGCCAUAUACCCCUCAGGACCUGAAGCAAAAGAAUGAAUUAAAGAAAACUCCAGAGAAUGAGCUGACAACCUACUCCCUGGUCAGUGGCUCUCCAUGCCUACCUGUGGUCUCUUGGACACCCUUGCAGAAGAUGACUUCCUGGGAACUCUUCUGGGAGUGAAUGUUAUCAGCAAAUUCCCAAAACAACACCCCUUAGACAAAAAGCCUCCUCACCUAUGCAUUGCCUAGACCACCCACUAAAGGUGAUGGCCACAAAGAGGUGGAUUUGUUGAGUUGGUGCCAUUCCUUCUACUGCCAGCUUCACCAAAACAAUGACACAGUCUUCCUUCCGCAUGGAGACUCUUCUCUUUCCUGUGUUGCAGUGGAUGCCUCCUGCAGAUAAGAAAUGCUUAACUGAGAAAUGCUCAUGUUGGGAUAUCAUCGAUGAGACUUUAAUUUGGGCAUGGUGACUGUUUCCCUUGCUGCCACUUGACUCAAUCCCAGGAGCCUCAGUAGAGGAUAUAAUAUUACACAAGAUGCUCAAAAUGGUGGAAUUGCUCAGUGCUCCCAUAAAUAUACAUUUAUAAUUUUCAUUUGCCACAUGGUAAACUGAAAAAUACAGACUAUAUUAAAAAGAAACUGCAUGAUUUUUUUUCAAAAAUUCAAAGCAUAUUUAAAUAAUAUAUAAAUUAAAUGCCCUCCUCUCUUCCAAUUCUGUCCCUAUAGUUUUCCUCUAUUAAGUGAACUACAUGCAUUCUUUUAGUGGAUAGAUGCACACAAACACACAAGCCAUUAUGGGGAAGGAUCCACGUGUGUGGCCAUAUUGUAACACAUUUUUCUGCAAAUCACCUCUUUCAUUUAACAGCCCUUAUUCAAUGGCCUUUUUCUUUUUCAGUAGUACAUACACAUCUGUGUCAUUUGUUGAAUGACGACAUGAAUGUUUUGUAGAUAAAAUAUAAUUAAAUGUUUUAAGCAUUUCUCACUCAUAGAUAUUUAUGUUAGCACCAAAUUUCUGUGCAAUGAACCUCCCUAUAUAUCAGUAAUUUUGCAUUUGUCUAUAAUAUCAUAAUAAAUUACUUAUCAGUUGAAUUACUGGGAUUAAGUAUGUGCACACUUUAUAUUUAUAUUUUGAAAAUUAUUGCAAGAUUGCCUUCAAAAAUGUGGUUAACAACUUUAUCUUCAAAUGGCAAUGAAUGAGAUUGCCAGCUUUCCUACAGCCUCACAGACAAUGGAUUUUAUAAAUAUUUAACAUUUUUGCCAAUGUGAUCACCCAAACUAUUGUCUUAAAUUGUAUCUCUUUUGUUUUUGAGUUUGGUCAUUUUUUCAUGUUUAUUAGCCAUCUGUAUUUUUUAAUUUCUUCUUUAUGUCCAAUUUUGUGGGUGGGAGGAGGAUUUAGUCUCUUCCUGAUUUCGAAGAGCUCAUUUACUAUUUCGGGAAAUAAGAUUUGGAUUGUCAACCAUUAUAGCUAUUUUUUACACACUUUUCAACUUUGUUUUUGUUAUAAGAAUGUGUAUGAUUGUUACAUGUCCAAGUAUAACCAUGUUCGCUUUUAUGGCUUCUGAGUUUCAUGUCAUUUUUGGAAAGAUAUAUAUAUUGAGUCCAUAAAACCCUUCACCUAUGUUAAAUUCUAAUUCUUUUGUGUUUUUUUAAUUCAAAUUCUUAAAUCAUGAGAAAUUUUUUUGUUUUGAAAUCUUAAAGUUGCCAAGUUACUUGCCAUUACUUGCGAUUAUUUGCCAAUAAUUGCCCAUUUAUCUGUACCGCCAUCUUGCGCAUAUGCUGUACUCUCAUCUGUGACUGGCUCCAUUUUUGUUCUGUGGAUUUGUGUGUCUCUUCUUCUGCCUCCUGUCUCGUGUCUGCUCGUUGGAAGAAAUUACAGUUUAGACUGCAAUUUCAUCAACUUUAAUAAAUCAAUUGAGGGGAGAAUUGGUUUUUAAAAAUAUUAAGUAAGUCUUCGUAUCCAAGGACAAGGUAUGUCUUUUCUUAUUCAAUAAUUUUAAUUACUGUUAAUAUUUUCACUGUGGUGAUGGGAGUUUUUCUUUUAAUUUAUUUUCUUGUUCAUUUUUUGUAUCUAAAGUUUUUGUUUUGUUUUGUUUUGGGGGUAAGUUGUCACCUUACUGUUUCUUGUUGCUUUUCAGAUUUUUUCAAAGUAUAGACUAAAUCCUUCACAAAUAUUUAAAGUUUUUAUUUUCCCCCUUCAUAUUGAUCCUGAUUUUAGUUAUGUUGACAAAGUCCACAGACUGUUACUAUCAGAACACUUGAACAGUUAUGGAAAUAUUACCUACCCUUGAUUUAAUCAGAGUUUAAUGGUAUGCUUCUUUGGUUUGACUGGCACAUUGUCGCUGGUCAUUUCCUCCCAAAGACCACCAGAAAGAGCUAUGAUCAAGCAAAGCUGAGUUUGUUAAACUUACCUGCAGCAAGGGAAAACACCACCUUGAUAGGGUUUAAUAAUGUUUCAAAAUCAAGAAAUGAGGCUUUGGGGUCUGGGCAGGGAACUAAUUAGAAAUGGGCAAAAUUUGUCAUGCAAUACCUUGUGGGAAAGUGAGAUGAGGUUCUUAAUGUGAGUAUUGAUGGUGAAAUCAUUUUCUAGGUGAGCUGUUUGCCUAUAUAAAGAUGUUAUCAAUGACAGAAGAACUAUUUGCCUAGAUAAACAAACUGAAUUUAUUUAUUGGUUUACAGUUUUAUCUUGCUGGGCAGGACUCUGCUGGGGGUGGUAUCAGGUCUUAUUCCCAAUAGGUAAGUUAUUUGGAUAUGGGUGGUCUUAAUCAUCAAUGUGUAAAAUGCUGAUUUUAAGUGCGAAAUACUUUGUCUACCAUGUUAGGAAAGUCUGCCACCUUUUAUCUUUUUUAAGGAAUUUUAAUCAAAACCAGGUGGUAGAUAUAAUCAAAUUGUUUUGCAGAAUCAAUUUUCCUGUUCUCUUUAAAGACUUUUAUCACUGUGAAUUAAUUUACUAUUAUUGCAACUUCCUUUAAUUCCUUGAAUGAACAGACCCUACUGGUUUUAAAAAUGUUUUAUUCUUUUAAUUUACUACUUAAUUGUGGGUAUUUUAAUUUGAUUUGGAAUUUUUACAAGUAUACAACUAAGUGAAAUUGAUCUGUGAUUUUUCUUUUUUGUGCUAUUUUUGUCAUGUUUUGAUAUCAGAUAUUCUGGUUGUGUUAAAAUAAUUUUGAGGAUUUUCUUCUUAUACUGUGUUCUAGAGUGGGUAAAAAAGCCCUAGUCUCACUAUCAGUGUUUAAGUGAACACAUCAGUGACAUCAUCUGGACUCUCCUUUGUUUUUGCUGGUUUGGAGUUAGGACAUCUAGAAGUUUUUUUCUUUUUUUCCUUUUUUUGUAUGGUUAUUGCUUGUUCUUUGUUUUGUGUCAAAUUUAACCUGUUUUCUCUUAGCAAAUCACAGCUCAUGCAGAUUUUCAAACACAUUAGCCUUGUUAUACAAAGUGUUCUUUCAUCAUUCUAUUAAAUUUCCAUUUUCAUUCCAGUUAUAGUUAUUUCUGCUGUGCCUUUGUUAAUGAAUAAGUUUAAACAGUGGAUGUUUAGCAUCACUAGCCUUCCCCUUCCAUCUCCCUUAAUCAGGACCUUGGUAUAAUUUAUCAGGUAUUUUUUAAGGUUCUAAUUUACUUAUAUAUAUUGUUUCUGUAUUCUUUUGUUUCUUUUCUUAAUAAAUUCUUAAA
rnacentral:lncRNA from 1 species